UACAGAGAGUGCGAGCGUUAAUCGGAAUUACUGGGCGUAAAGCGCGCGUAGGUGGAUGUUUAAGUCGGAUGUGAAAGCCCUGGGCUUAACCUAGGAAUUGCAUCCGAUACUACUCAUCUUGAGUAUGGUAGAGGGAAGUGGAAUUUCCGGUGUAGCGGUGAAAUGCGUAGAUAUCGGAAGGAACACCAGUGGCGAAGGCGGCUUCCUGGACCAAUACUGACACUGAGGCGCGAAAGCGUGGGGAGCAAACAGG
rnacentral:rRNA from 1 species